rnacentral:rRNA from 1 species
GACGAACGCUGGCGGCGUGCUUAACACAUGCAAGUCGAACGGAAAGGCCCUGCUUUUGUGGGGUGCUCGAGUGGCGAACGGGUGAGUAACACGUGAGUAACCUGCCCUUGACUUUGGGAUAACUUCAGGAAACUGGGGCUAAUACCGGAUAGGAGCUCCUGCUGCAUGGUGGGGGUUGGAACGUUUCGGCGGUUGGGGAUGGACUCGCGGCUUAUCAGCUUGUUGGUGGGGUGGUGGCUUACCAAGGCUUUGACGGGUAGCCGGCCUGAGAGGGUGACCGGCCACAUUGGGACUGAGAUACGGCCCAGACUCCUACGGGAGGCAGCGGUGGGGAAUAUUGCACAAUGGGCGGAAGCCUGAUGCAGCAACGCCGCGUGCGGGAUGACGGCCUUCGGGUUGUAAACCGCUUUCGCCUGUGACGAAGCGUGAGUGACGGUAAUGGGUAAAGAAGCACCGGCUAACUACGUG